GACGAACGCUGGCGGCAUGCUUAACACAUGCAAGUGGAGCGACGAACCUUUUAGGGGCAAAGCCGCGAACGGGUGAGUAACACGUGGGCAAUCUGCCCAGUUGACUGGAAUAACUCUCCGAAAGGAGAGCUAAUACCGGAUGUGCCGUACCUACACAAGUAGGUCCGGUAAAGGUAGCUUCGGCUAUCCGCAAUUGGAGGAGCCUGCGGCGCAUUAGCCAGUUGGUGGGUAAAGGCCUACCAAGGCGACGAUGCGUAGCUGGUCUGAGAGGACGAUCAGCCACACUGGAACUGAGACACGGUCCAGUCUCCUACGGGAGGCAGCAGUGGGGAAUCUUGCACAAUGGGCGACAGCCUGAUGCAGCAAUGCCGCGUGAGGGAAGAC
rnacentral:rRNA from 1 species